rnacentral:rRNA from 1 species
GUGGGGAAUCUUAGACAAUGGGGGAAACCCUGAUCUAGCCAUGCCGCGUGAGCGAUGUAGGCCUUAGGGUUGUAAAGCUCUUUCAGCUGGGAAGAUAAUGACGGUACCAGCAGAAGAAGCCCCGGCUAACUCCGUGCCAGCAGCCGCGGUAAUACGGAGGGGGCUAGCGUUGUUCGGAAUUACUGGGCGUAAAGCGCGCGUAGGCGGACCAGAAAGUUGGAGGUGAAAUCCCAGGGCUCAACCUUGGAACUGCCUUCAAAACUCCUGGUCUGGAGUUCGAGAGAGGUGAGUGGAAUUCCGAGUGUAGAGGUGAAAUUCGUAGAUAUUCGGAGGAACACCAGUGGCGAAGGCGGCUCACUGGCUCGAUACUGACGCUGAGGUGCGAAAGCGUGGGGAGCAAACAGGAUUAGAUACCCUUGUAGUCC